ACCUCAAAGCUAGCCUAUAUAUCAACUUCAACUAGACCUAAUAAAUCUAAUUCACACUAUAAUUUUUUAACCAAAACAUUCUUAACCUUUUAGUAUGGGCGACAGAACAAUAACUUCAGCGCAAUAGCUUAUGUACCGCAAGGGAAAGCUGAAAAAGAAAUGAAAUAAAUUAUUAAAGUACUAAAAAGCAGAGAUUACAUCUCGUACCUUUUGCAUCAUGAUUUAGCUAGAAAAACUAGGCAAAAAGAUCUUAAGUCUAUCCUCCCGAAACUAAACGAGCUACUCCGAAGCAGCAUUAUAGAGCUAACCCGUCUCUGUGGCAAAAGAGUGGGAAGACUUCCGAGUAGCGGUGAAAAGCCUACCGAGUUUAGUGAUAGCUGGUUACCCAAAAAAAGAACUUCAAUUCUGCAUUAAUUUUUUAAUUACCUAGACAAGACUCUCCUUAUCAAAGGAACUCAUAAGAAUUAAUAGUUAUUUAGAAGAGGUACAGCCCUUCUAAACCAAGAUACAACUUUUUAAGAUGGGAAAUGAUCAUAAUUACCAAGGUAAUCCCCUCAGUGGGCCUAAAAGCAGCCACCUGUAAAGCAAGCGUCGCAGCUCCAGCUCAAUAACCAAACCCUUAAUCCCGAUACCCACUCACUACCCUCCUUACUUAUUGGGUUAUUUUAUAAAAAUAUAAAAGAACUUAUGCUAAAAUGAGUAAUAAAGAGAAUAUAUCUCUCCUAACACAAGUGUAUGUCAGAAGAAUUAAAUCACUGAUAAUUAAACGGCCCCAAACUGAGGCUACUAUACUAUUUAAACAUCAACCAGAAAACCCUAUUCUUCCACCCGUUAACCCUACACAGGAGUGUUACCAGGAAAGAUU
rnacentral:rRNA from 1 species